GACGAACGCUGGCGGCGUGCUUAACACAUGCAAGUCGAACGGAAAGGCCCUGCUUGCAGGGUACUCGAGUGGCGAAGGGGUGGGUAACACGUGGGUGCUCUGGCCUGCACUUCGGGGUAAGCUUGGGCGACUGGGUCCAAUACCGGAUAGGAGCCAUCUCUAGCGUGGUGGAUGGAGAGUUCUUUCGGUGUAGGAUGAGCUCGUGGCCUAUCAGCGUGUUGGUGGGGUAGUGGCGUACCAAGGCGGCGACGCGUAGCCGGCCUGAGAGGGUGUACGGACACAUUGGAACUGUGAUGCGGCCCAGAGUCCGGCGUGUGGGAGCAGUGGGGAAUAUUGGACACUGCGCGCCAGCGUGAUGGAGCGACGCCGCGUGGUGGAUGAAGGCUUUCGGGUUGUAAACACCGCUCGCUAGGGACGAAGCUUUGUUGUGACGGUACCUAGAGAAGAAGCACCGGCUAACUACGUG
rnacentral:rRNA from 1 species